AAAUGAGUAGUUAUUGUUGCAAACUCCAUUAGAAAUUUGGAUUGAGAUCAGUUUUGGAAUAAGGGAAAGGGAGAUGUGAAAAAAAAAUUGGGGGGGGAAGGGGGGGGGGUCAAUUUUUCUCAUUUCAGAUUUCAUGAAUAAAAAGAAAAUUUCUUCAAACAUAUUUUUGAGAGGAUUUAUAUUCAACAGCAUAGUGAAUUGCUCAAAGGCAAAAAACAAAUUUUAAGUUUAUUAGACCACAUUCAUUCUGUGUCAGAAACCUAUGCUGUGUCAACUAUUUAAUCACAAUCCAAAUUUAGAGCUGAAUCCAGCUUGAAUGUUGUGUCCAUACUUGCCCCAAC
rnacentral:lncRNA from 1 species